rnacentral:rRNA from 1 species
GAUGAACGCUGGCGGCGUGCCUAAUACAUGCAAGUCGAGCGAAUGGAUUAAGAGCUUGCUCUUAUGAAGUUAGCGGCGGACGGGUGAGUAACACGUGGGUAACCUGCCCAUAAGACUGGGAUAACUCCGGGAAACCGGGGCUAAUACCGGAUAACAUUUUGAACCGCAUGGUUCGAACUUGAAAGGCGGCUUCGGCUGUCACUUAUGUAUGGCACCGCGCCGCAUUAGCUAGUUGGUGAGGUAACGGCUCACCAAGGCAACGAUGCGUAGCCGACCUGAGAGGGUGAUCGGCCACACUGGGACUGAGACACGGCCCAGACUCCUACGGGAGGCAGCAGUAGGGAAUCUUCCGCAAUGGACGAAAGUCUGACGGAGCAACGCCGCGUGAGUGAUGAAGGCUUUCGGGUCGUAAAACUCUGUUGUUAGGGAAGAACAAGUGCUAGUUGAAUAAGCUGGCACCUUGACGGUACCUAACCAGAAAGCCACGGCUAACUACGUGCCAGCCGCCGCCGUAA